rnacentral:misc_RNA from 1 species
GUCAACAACAAUGCCUGGGCUUAUGCCACAAACUUUGUCCCUGGAAAGUGAAUGGAAAAUCUUGUAAUAUUUUGAGUGCUUUUCCUUCCAAAGUGAAGGCAAAAAUUGUGAUAUGACUAGUAGCGCGGAAAACGUAUUAUCUGUCAUAUCACAAUUUUUGCCUUCACUUUGGAAGGAAAAGCACUCAAAAUAUUACAAGAUUUUCCAUUCACUUUCCAGGGACAAAGGCAUAAGCCCAGGCAUUGUUGUUGACGGGGUCAGCAAGGUGGUCGGCCAAGUUCUCCAGUGGUCCCUUUCCUGUCACAAUGGCCUGAACAAAGAAUCCAAACAUGGAGAACAUAGCCAAUCUGCCAUUCUUGAUUUCCUUCACCUUAAGCUCAGCAAAUGCCUCUGGGUCAUCAGC